rnacentral:rRNA from 1 species
UAGGGAAUCUUGCGCAAUGGGCGAAAGCCUGACGCAGCAACGCCGCGUGAGGGACGAAGGCUUUCUGAGUUGUAAACCUCUUUCGACAGGAACGAUUGUGACGGUACCUGUAGAAGAAGCACCGGCCAACUAUGUGCCAGCAGCCGCGGUGAUACAUAGGGUGCAAGCGUUAUUCGGAUUUAUUGGGCGUAAAGAGCUCGUAGGCGGUUCGAUAAGUCGGGUGUUAAACCCCCAGGCUCAACCUGGGGCCGCCACCCGAAACUAUCGUGACUAGAGUUUGGUAGGGGAUCACGGAAUUCCUGGUGUAGCGGUGGAAUGCGCAGAUAUCAGGAGGAACACCAGUAGCGAAGGCGGUGAUCUGGGCCAAUACUGACGCUGAGGAGCGAAAGCGUGGGGAGCGAACAGG